GACGAACGCUGGCGGCGUGCCUAAUACAUGCAAGUCGAACGAACUCUGGUAUUGAUUGGUGCUUGCAUCAUGAUUUACAUUUGAGUGAGUGGCGAACUGGUGAGUAACACGUGGGAAACCUGCCCAGAAGCGGGGGAUAACACCUGGAAACAGAUGCUAAUACCGCAUAACAACUUGGACCGCAUGGUCCGAGUUUGAAAGAUGGCUUCGGCUAUCACUUUUGGAUGGUCCCGCGGCGUAUUAGCUAGAUGGUGGGUAACGGCUCACCAUGGCAAUGAUACGUAGCCGACCUGAGAGGGUAAUCGGCCACAUUGGGACUGAGACACGGCCCAAACUCCUACGGGAGGCAGCAGUAGGGAAUCUUCCACAAUGGACGAAAGUCUGAUGGAGCAACGCCGCGUGAGUGAAGAAGGGUUUCGGCUCGUAAAACUCUGUUGUUAAAGAAGAACAUAUCUGAGAGUAACUGUUCAGGUAUUGACGGUAUUUAACCAGAAAGCCACGGCUAACUACGUGCCAGCAGCCGCGGUAAUACGUAGGUGGCAAGCGUUGUCCGGAUUUAUUGGGCGUAAAGCGAGCGCAGGCGGUUUUUUAAGUCUGAUGUGAAAGCCUUCGGCUCAACCGAAGAAGUGCAUCGGAAACUGGGAAACUUGAGUGCAGAAGAGGACAGUGGAACUCCAUGU
rnacentral:rRNA from 2 species